AUACGAAGGUCCCAAGCGUUAUUCGGAAUCACUGGGCGUAAAGAGUACGUAGGCGGUUUGGUAAGUCAGGUGUGAAAUCCCGGAGCUCAACUCCGGAACUGCAUCCGAUACUGCCAGACUUGAGUAAUGGAGAGGCAGGUGGAAUUCUCGGUGUAGCAGUGAAAUGCGUGGAUAUCGAGAGGAAGACCAAUGGCGAAGGCAGCCUGCUGGACAUUUACUGACGCUGAGGUACGAAGGCUAGGGGAUCGAAAGGGAUUAGAAACCCUAGUAGUCC
rnacentral:rRNA from 1 species